UUGGCACUGGAAGACAAAAUCUUAAUCACUAGACUACCAGGGGAGUCCCUGGAAUGGGUUGUAUUUUAAACACCAGCUUGGCUGUCAGAUGUCUGGAAGUUGGAACGUGGUUUCCAUUACAGCUGGUGGUCAGGGUCCUAGAUUAGCCUGCAACAAUAUUCAAUCCAUAAUAUGGAUGAAAUAGUAUAUACUUUUGUAUAUUUUUUUCAGUGGAAAGCAGUUUGAAAAACUCCAACACUCAGUGGUUCCAAUACCAGCCCUCAAUGAAGCAGAAGAACAGUAACAUCAUGGGAGCUCCACGUUUAUUUUGAAGUUUGAGGCGGCUUUAGGACCAUCCUUUAAAGAAGGUAGGUACUGAGCCAGCAAGUAGCCCAGCCGGAAUCUGAACCCAUGUCUCAUCUGGAUGCAAAGCCUCACUCUUCACCCCUUUACACUGUCCAAGGAUUGAAGCACAAAUGAGAACAUCUAAUAAAAAUAACCCAAGGAUCUGAGGGUGACCAAAGUGCCAUGAGAACAUGCUCAGGCCAGCCUGCUGGAGUAUCAGAGACACGUGGAACAGAGCACAGCUGCUCCAGCUGAGGCCAGCCUAGAUCAGUCAAGAGCCAGCCAACACCCAGGCAUGGCUUGCCAACAGGAGGAUGAGGAAAAUGCUACUCUCUCAUCAAGAUAACACAAGCUGCCAUCCAUCUUGUUUUUUUUUUUU